GAAAGUGGGGGCGAUCUGGCUGCAACAUCUGUCACCCCAUUGAUCGCCAGUGUUGAUUCGGCUGAUCUGGCUGGCUAGGCGGGUGUCCCCUUCCUCCCUCACCGCUCCAUGUGUGUCCCUCCCAAAGCUGCGGGCUUGGUCGAAGAGGAUGACCUUCCGGAACCGAUAGAUAGAGGAGGACCGUUCUUUGGUCAAGGGUAUACGAGUAGCUGCGCUCCCCUGCUAGAACCUCCAAACAAGCUCUCAAGGUCCAUAAACAUUUCAAUUGUUUCACUAUAUGAAAUAAAUAUUGUAUAUUGCUGUAGUUUAAAAAUUUUG
rnacentral:snRNA from 1 species